UACAGAGGGGGCAAGCGUUGUUCGGAAUUACUGGGCGUAAAGGGCGCGUAGGCGGCCUGUUAAGUCGAACGUGAAAUCCCCGGGCUCAACCCGGGAACUGCGUCCGAUACUGGCAGGCUUGAAUCCGGGAGAGGGAUGUGGAAUUCCAGGUGUAGCGGUGAAAUGCGUAGAUAUCUGGAGGAACACCGGUGGCGAAGGCGGCAUCCUGGACCAACACUGACGCUGAUGAGCGAAAGCCAGGGGAGCAAACGGGG
rnacentral:rRNA from 1 species